rnacentral:misc_RNA from 1 species
UUAAUUCUUGCGCGCCCCCGACUA